rnacentral:rRNA from 1 species
UGGUGGAGUGAUUUGUCUGGUUAAUCCCGUUAACGAACGAGACCUUAGCCUACUAACUAGUCGAUUCAAUCCCGAUUGACUUCGACUUCUUAGAGGGACUUUGUGAUCAUAAGCACAAGGAAGUUUGAGGCAAUAACA